rnacentral:rRNA from 1 species
GGCGCUGAGCGUCGUGCUUAUACUCUGCCGUCGGGACAGUAGUGAUAUCUUUACUACUCUACGGAGUGUAAAAUAUCGUCAGGUCUCGACGAGUAGGUGGGCCGCGGCGGUGAGCGCAGAAGGACUGGGCGUGGGCCCGUCUGGAGCCGCCGUCGGUGCAGAUCUUGGUGGUAGUAGCAAAUACUCCAGCGAGGCCCUGGAGGACUGACGUGGAGAAGGGUUUCGUGUGAACAGCCGUUGCACACGAGUCAGUCGAUCCUAAGCCCUAGGAGAAAUCCGAUGUUAAUGCAGUUGUGUCUUUAUUAUAUGAUGACAUUAGUGUUGUGAGUUUAAAACAGUUGACGUUACAUACUUUGAUACAGGUAUAUAAAUAUGUAUAUAUUAAUGAUGGCUGUUCUAUUAACACUAUCGCUCGCUAAUACUUUGAACGUUCAUACAUAUAUAAAGUGUAGUAAACUAUUUCUGCUGUUGUGUGUUUUACACAAGAGUUAGUUGUAGACUCUCACUUUUUGUGUGUUGUUCGAAGUCAGUGUGUGGUUUAUAUGAUAGUUCGAUACACAUUUUAUAUUAUUAUUAUUAUGAUGUAGAAAAGUGUCUUCUGUCUCGAUCCACUGAUAAAAUCGUUGUUAGAGAAAUAUCACACUCAUUGGGCGAAAGGGAAUCCGGUUCCUAUUCCGGAACCCGGCAGCGGAACCGUUUACAAGUCGGGCCCUCGUAAGAGAGUUCGUCGGGGCAACCCAACAGGACCUGGAGACGCCGUCGGGAGAUCCGGGAAGAGUUUUCUUUUCUGUAUGAGCGUUCGAGUUCCCUGGAAUCCUCUAGCAGGGAGAUAGGGUUUGGAACGCGAAGAGCACCGCAGUUGCGGCGGUGUCUGGAUCGUCCCCUCGGACCUUGAAAAUCCAGGAGAGGGCCACGUGGAGGUGUCGCGCCGGUUCGACCCAUAUCCGCAGCAGUUCCA